rnacentral:lncRNA from 1 species
CACAUUUCACAAAAUGGUCAGAUGCCAAUGCAAAUUAAUGACAUGUGGUCAACGGGCUGAUGGGCACGGCUGUGGGACCCCAUCAUUCCCCUGCCCCGCAUGACUCUGCUCUCCCAGCUCGACUGCUCACUUCAGACUUCCCUUAUGGAAGGAGUUGCCAGAUAGAGCAAGUAAAAUACAGUGUGCCAGACACAGGUUUAUUUCAACACUGGGAAGGCUCCAUUCCUACUUAAACCCAGCAGGGAACAGGGAGCGGUGUGCAGAGGAGGUGGCCUGCCCGGGAAGCCGGCCUUGGUGCUGGGACUGCAGGGAGAGGGCUGUGAGGAAGAGCACAGGCUUCAUGCACAUUGCACAGAGGAGGAGAUUCAUGGGGACAGCAGGCACUGGUUAGGCACAGCGGGAAGGUUAUCGAAGACAAAACACAUUUCUACCCAAGUUUAAAUGACCUGCUAUGCCCACAGAGCUUGAUCCAGAAGUGCACAGUAGAGACGGGGUUUCACCAUGUUAGCCAGGAUGGUCUCGAUCUCCUGACCUCGUGAUCUGCCCGCCUCAGCCUCCCAAAGUGCUGGGAUUACAGGAGUGAGCCACCGCUCCCGGCCCAGAACUUUUAAUAAAUAUAAAUACACAGGUAAUUUUAACACAUAUUCCUGAUGAAAUCAUUAUUAUCUGCAAUGCUUUCAUUCUGCUUUUUCUCUUAACAAUGGCAUAAACAUUUUUCAAGGUCAAUAAAUGUUUUUCAAAAUCGCAUUUGUAUUAGUGGCUGUAUAGUUUUCUAUCAAAUGUGGAAUAAACUCAAUUUAUUUCUCCCUUUUGUUCUUGAACAUUUAAGAUCAUUGGUUCAUAGUUACUAAUCAUGUUACAACAAAUAUUCAUGUAUUCCAAAUUUUGCUCAUUCCUGAUUAUUUCCUUAGAUUUCCAGGUAUGGAAUAAUUAGGUUGAAGUGUUUGAAAUCUUUUUUUGUUGGUUUGUUUGUUUUUGAGAUGUAGCUUCCCUCUGUUGCCCCGGCUGGAGUGCACUGGCAUGAUCUCAGCUCACUCACUGCAACCUCUGCUGCCUGGUUCAAGCGAUUCUCCUGCCUCAGCCUCCUGAAUAGCUGGGGUUACAGGUGCGCACCACCACGCCCGGCUAAUUUUUGUAUUUUUAGUAGAGACAGGGUUUCAUCAUGUUGGCCAGGUGGGUCUCAAACUCCUGACCUCAGGUGGUCCUUCUGCCUUGGCCUCCCAAAGUGCUGGGAUUACAGGCGUGAGCCACUGCGCCCGGCCGAAGUGUUUGAAAUCUUUAAGCAUCCUGGUAAAUAUUGAGUUUUGUCAAUAUUUAGAAAAGUUGCAUGAUUGACAUCGCUUCCACCCAUGUUUCAGAGCAUCUGAUUUGUCAGACCCUCACCAAAAAUGGGCUUUUAUCAAAAUGUAAUAAAAAAUAAAUACAACUUUUCCAAUGACAAAACUGGUUUCUCAUUUUUUUGAUACAUGUUUCUUGAAUUCUAGAGAGAUUGAAUAUUAUGAAUAUGUUUUCUGUUAUAUCUUUUAUAUUAAUAUAAAUGUUAUAUAUUUACAUAUUUUUAAUGAGUUGGCAAUUAUGCCCUGGCUUCAUUUUUUUUCUCAUGGGAGUUAUCUUUUUUACUUACUGAUUGUUAAAAUAAUCAAAUAUUCUAGAAAAUAAAUGUUUUGUUUUUCAUGCAUAGUGCAAGUAUUUCAUUUGGACUUUUCAUUUGUUUGUAAUUUUGUUAAUUGAAGUUUGGCAUCUAGAGAUUUUACACUUUUAGGUAUAAAAGUUGUGACUGUUUUCCUUAUUGUUU